UGAGGCCUCCCUAAAAUCCCCAAGAGUUUAGGGAUUACUCUUACAUGACUAGUUGGUUCCAGGUAUGACUAGUUCCAGGCACUCCAGAGUCUAAAGGCUUUGAUCUCUUUUCAUCUCUGCUCUAUUUUGCUCCUCAUUGGUUUUAUUCUCAGGCAGGCUCUCUCCUGAAUAUUCAUUGGAAGGACUGAUGCUGAAGCUGAAACUCCAAUACUUUGGCCACCCGAUGUAUAGACUCACUGGAAAAUACCCUGAUGCUGGGAAAGAUUGAGGAUCACAUGACCCCAAAUGGCCAGCUAUUGAAGGACACAGACUAGAAGACACUGGAUGUGCACCCUGUCUUCUUGACAUGGACUUAAUUGAUUGAGAACCAAAUGAGGAAAUUGCUGUGAACAAAAUAGAUUUACCCAACAUCUCUUAGCAGGAAAUCAACCCUGAAUAUUCAU
ensembl:lncRNA